ACUCAAAUGAAUUGACGGGGGUCCGCACAAGCGGUGGAGUAUGUGGUUUAAUUCGAUGAUACGCGAGGAACCUUACCUGGGCUAGAAUGUUAUUUGACCGCCAGUGAAAGCUGGUUUUGUAGCAAUACACAGAUGACAAGGUGCUGCAUGGCUGUCGUCAGCUCGUGCCGUGAGGUGUUGGGUUAAGUCCCGCAACGAGCGCAACCCCCAUCUUCAGUUGCCAGCACGUAAUGGUGGGAACUCUGAAGAAACUGCCGUCGUAAGACGCGAGGAAGGAGGGGAUGAUGUCAAGUCAUCAUGGCCUUUAUGCCCAGGGCUACACACGUACUACAAUGGGGAGGACAAAGGGCAGCGACCUGGUAACAGGAAGCUAAUCUCAAAAACCUUCUCUCAGUUCAGAUUGAGGUCUGCAACUCGACCUCAUGAAGCUGGAAUCGCUAGUAAUCGCGCAUCAGCAAUGGCGCGGUGAAUACGUUCCCGGACCUUGUACACACCGCCCGU
rnacentral:rRNA from 1 species